AUGAUGGCUGCAGCAGACUUUGCAUGCUCCCUGGAGUAUCUCAACACUUUUGCAUGCUCCUUGGAUUAUCCCACUCCUGCAGAAGGGCCAUUUGUUUCCUUGUCUUCCCCAGCUCCUCAGGAGGUGGCAGAGCAGCCCACCAGCCCAGCCUCUCCCCCCAACAGCCACCAGAGCGUGUGUGCACCAGAGGUGCCUUCCAUGUCCCAGGGCCUGCUCAAGCUCUUCCAGAAAAACUCACCCAUGGAGGACCUUGGAGCCAAGGGAGCUAAAGAGAAGAUGAAAGAGGAAUCAUGGCGUAUCCACUUCUUUGAGUAUGGGUGCCAUGUGUGCAUGUACCGCACAGCCAAGACAGGGGCACUGGUCCUGAAGGGCAUCCCUGAGAGCCUCUGGGGAGAGCUGUGGCUCCUCUUCUCUGGGGCCUGGAAUGAGAUGGAGACUCAUCCAAGCUACUACAAUGAGCUGCCAUGGAGGAGAUCGAGCGAGACCUACACUGUUCCAUGCCUGAGCACCCUGCCUUCCAGAAUGAGUUCGGGAUUGCCACCCUCCGGCAGGUGCUGACCGCCUGUGCCUUCUGAAAGCCCACCAUCAGCUACUGCCAGGCAAUGAACAUCGUGACCUCAGUGCUCUUGCUCUAUGGCAGUGAGGAGGAGGCCUUCUGGCUCCUGGUGGCCCUGUGCGAGCGCAUGCUGCCCGACUACUACAACACCAGGGUGGUGGGAGCCCUGGUGGACCAAGGCAUCUUCGAAGAGCUCACAAGAGACUUCCUGCCACAGCUCUCAGAGAAGAUGCAGGACCUGGGGGUGAUCUCCAGCAUCUCGCUGUCCUGGUUCCUGACCCUCUUCCUCAGUGUCAUGCCCUUCGAGAGUGCUGUGGUUAUUGUCGACUGUUUCUUCUAUGAGGGCAUCAAGGUGAUACUGCAGGUGGCCUUGGCCGUCCUGGACGCCAACAUGGAGCAGCUGCUGGGCUGCAGCGAUGAGGGCGAGGCCAUGACUGUGCUGGGCAGAUACCUGGAUAAUGUGGUCAAUAAGCAGAGUGUCUCUCCUCCUAUCCCACACCUCCAUGCCUUGCUGACCAGCGGAGAUGACCCCCCUGCAGAGGUGGACAUCUUUGAGCUCCUGAAAGUGUCCUACGAGAAAUUCAGCAGCCUGAGGGCUGAAGACAUUGAGCAGAUGCGGUUUAAACAGAGGCUGAAAGUGAUCCAGUCCUUGGAGGACACAGCCAAGAGGAGUGUGGUCUGAGCUAUAACUGUGGACAUCAGUUUCUCAAAUGAAGAGUUGGAGGACCUUUACAUGGUGUUUAAGGUGACACACCUGACUAGCCAGUACUGGGAGUGCAGCCGCAAGGUGGCUGGCCAUCGGGAUCCCAGCCUGCCCUUCCUGGAGCAGUAUGGGAUUGAUGCCAGUCAGUUCCAGGAACUCUUUGCCAGGCUGACACCCUGGGCCUGUGGCUCCCACAUGCCUGUGCUGGCAGGGCACAUGUGCCAGCUCCUGGAGAAAACAAGGACUCGCUGAUGAACUUCAAGGAGUUUGUGGUGGGGAUGAGCAGGAUGUACCACAGGGACCUGACAGAGAAGCUCAAGGUGCUCUACAAGCUACACCUUCCCCCAGGUGCUCUGGUUGUGGGAGCUCGAGCACACAGAGUUAGGGGCAGUGUAGAAUUAGGCACCCUCAACCCAUUUCCCCUGGAGACAAUUCCAGCAGAGAGGAGCAGCAAGAUGCAGAAGCUGGACCACAUGGGGGCUGCCUCAGCUGGAGGAAUGCCUGUGGGCUGCCUUCAAAGAGCACCAGGAAUCCAGAAAGUGGUGAACGAGACCAAAACCACUGUCAAUUACCACCAGGAGAGGACCCAAAUGAUGAGCACCAUGGACCAUACCUUCACAGACCAGAGCCCCCUGCAGGAGGAGGAGUGGCUGGGCCUGUCCUUCAUGGACACUCAUGGCUACAGCUCCCGGGAGGAGUACCCAGCUCUUCUGUCCCUUCAUCAUUGCUCUGAGGCUCCUGACCCAAGCCAAAAGGAUCAAGCCCCUCUGGAGUACUCCUCACAUUUGAUGAGUUCUGUACCAUGA